CUUGCAAUCAAUAAACGAUUAGACAAAAGAAAUACGGUUCAUUUCACAACUCACAAAGUAUAAAGAAGGAGAUGGGUCAUCACCACCAUCACCACCACCACCACCAGGAAGGUGCCAAUCCAUAUGAUGAUCCCUUACUGGCAUGUUGUUGCUGUCCUUGCUUGCUAGUCUCCUCUGUCUUCUCUAUGUUUACAAGGUGCAUCUUUAUGGCCUGUUACCCUUUGCUGCACUGUUUAGGAUGGGAUGAACAUAGACACCACCGCCAUCAUCACCACCACAGCCAUUUCUUGUAACCCCCAAUUUGAUGAUUGUCUCCAUACUCUAGCAAGACAAAGUUGUCAUUUUUGUUUUUCAAUUUCAGAGGAUUGUUUAGUAUUUCAAUUUUGUUUGUUUGUGUAUACUUUACCUAGUACCAGUUAUAAUUUUUGAGUUGUUGUUUGUUCAC